CACCAAACAUAUUGUUUCCUAUGAGGUCCUUUAUUUUUUCUCCACACAUGUCCAAAUACAAUAAUAAUAUCAUAUUUGGAUAUCAUCCAUUUGUUCACAGACUGCAUCAUGGUAAAACAAAACAAGAUAGAUCACAUUCUAUUCUCUUAAAACAUGCAGACGUUAAAUUAACUAUUUAGCAUAAUCCUACUUGGUAUAACAUCAGCAACAACUUAAGAGAUUUUAGUCAAAAAAUAGAAGUGGCAAUGAAUAUGUAGACAUAUUUAACCUCCAAUUAAGGAAAUGCAAAUAUAGCACAACCAUAAAAUAUCAUUUUCACAUACGGAUGAGCCGGAGUUAAAAAGAUUGAAAAUGUUCUACGUUGGCAAGUCUGAAGAGAAAGGAAGUUUUGGCAAAAAAGGAUCGCUACUCAGUACAAACUGUUACAACCACAUUUUGCAAAGCAAUAGGGCAUUAUGUAUCAAUCAAAAUUUAAGUGUGCAUCCCCUUUAAUGCAACAAUACCAUUUCUAGGCUUUUAUCUUAAGAAAACAAUAGGACAAGUAUAUAAAAAUACACAUACAAAGUUGUCCUUCCCAGCCACAAAAAUAGAAAUAACAGAAAAGUGCAACAUAGGAAAUUCAACACAGCACAGUUCAGCCAAAUACAACUUUUUAAAGCCAUGUGGCACUAGAAUUAUCAAAAGAAAAAUAGAUCCAUAGUACAUUUUUAGGUGUAAUGAGAAGGCCAGCUUUCAAACAUAAAGGAGUACAAGGGCGAGGGGUAUAGUUCAGUGGUAGAAUGCUUGCCUAGCAUGCAUGAGGUCCGUCAGUCCAAAGA
rnacentral:lncRNA from 1 species